rnacentral:rRNA from 1 species
GAAUUCGCCCUUAGAGUUUGAUCCUGGCUCAGGACGAACGCUGGCGGCGCGCCUAACACAUGCAAGUCGAACGGAGCUUAAAGAGCUUGCUUUUUAAGCUUAGUGGCGAACGGGUGAGUAACGCGUGAGUAACCUGCCCUGGAGUGGGGGACAACAGUUGGAAACGACUGCUAAUACCGCAUAAGCCCACGGAUUCGCAUGGAUCUGCGGGAAAAGGAUUUAUUCGCUUCAGGAUGGACUCGCGUCCAAUUAGCUAGUUGGUGAGGUAACGGCCCACCAAGGCGACGAUCAGUAGCCGGGCUGAGAGGUUGACCGGCCACAUUGGGACUGAGAUACGGCCCAGACUCCUACGGGAGGCAGCAGUGGGGAAUAUUGGGCAAUGGGCGCAAGCCUGACCCAGCAACGCCGCGUGAAGGAAGAAGGCUUUCGGGUUGUAAACUUCUUUUGUCGGGGACGAGUAGAAGACGGUACCUGGCGAAUAAGCCACGGCUAACUACGUGCCAGCAGCCGCGGUAAUACGUAGGUGGCAAGCGUUGUCCGGAUUUACUGGGUGUAAAGGGCGUGUAGCCGGGAAGGCAAGUCAGAUGUGAAAUCCACGGGCUUAACUCGUGAACUGCAUUUGAAACUACUUUUCUUGAGUAUCGGAGAGGCAAUCGGAAUUCCUAGUGUAGCGGUGAAAUGCGUAGAUAUUAGGAGGAACACCAGUGGCGAAGGCGACCUACUGGGCACCAACUGACGCUGAGGCUCGAAAGCAUGGGUAGCAAACAGGAUUAGAUACCCUGGUAGUCCAUGCCGUAAACGAUGAUUACUAGGGGUGGGAGGAUUGACCCCUUCAGUGCCGCAGUUAACACAAUAAGUAAUCCACCUGGGGAGUACGACCGCAAGGUUGAAACUCAAAGGAAUUGACGGGGGCCCGCACAAGCAGUGGAGUAUGUGGUUUAAUUCGAAGCAACGCGAAGAACCUUACCAGGUCUUGACAUCCGAUGCAUAGCGCAGAGAUGCGUGAAGUCCUUCGGGACAUCGAGACAGGUGGUGCAUGGUUGUCGUCAGCUCGUGUCGUGAGAUGUUGGGUUAAGUCCCGCAACGAGCGCAACCCUUAUUGCCAGUUACUACGUAAGAGGACUCUGGCGAGACUGCCGUUGACAAAACGGAGGAAGGUGGGGAUGACGUCAAAUCAUCAUGCCCCUUAUGUCCUGGGCUACACACGUACUACAAUGGCGUUUAACAAAGAGAAGCAAGACCGCGAGGUGGAGCAAAACUCAAAAACAACGUCUCAGUUCAGAUUGCAGGCUGCAACUCGCCUGCAUGAAGUCGGAAUUGCUAGUAAUCGCGGAUCAGCAUGCCGCGGUGAAUACGAUCCCGGGCCUUGCACACACCGCCCGUCA